rnacentral:tRNA from 1 species
GGAGGGAUUCCCGAGUGGCCAAAGGGAGCAGACUGUAAAUCUGCCGUCUUCGACUUCGAAGGUUCGAAUCCUUCUCCCUCCACCA